AUCCAGCUGACGAGUCACAAAUAAGAUGAAACGCGUGUCCGGUAU
rnacentral:hammerhead_ribozyme from 1 species